rnacentral:rRNA from 1 species
GUCCAUUCGGACGCCACAACGUGGAAGUAGGCAAGUGUUACUUGGCCGAACCACGGGAUAAAAAUCGCGUGUCUCUUGUGUUGGAUUCUCUGUGAUUGUUGUUCACAAGAACUCGCUUCAAAGCUACUUAGUCGCUAACGCUAUAACAUUUAUGUUUUGUGGCUAUUUAGAGUUUGAUUUUACAGGAUCACCUAUUCACCCCCCCUCUAGGUGAUCUCACAAAGCCCGGGGGGCCUAGGCGCCCCAGGCAGCCGCCGUUGGCGCGGACGGUAUCCGCGCGCCUCUGGUGCGCCCCUCGGGGCGCUGCGCCACAAUGGCCUAUGAGCUCCCCAUCUGACCCAUCUUGAAACACGGACCAAGGAGUCUGACAUGCGUGUGAGUCGACGGGUUCAGAAACCUGAGAUGCGCAAGGAAGCUGACGAGCGGGAGGCCCUCACGGGCCGCACCGCUGGCCGACCUUGAUCUUCUGUGAAGGGUUCGAGUUGGAGCACACCUGUCGGGGCCCGAAAGAUGGUGAACUAUGCCUGAGCGGGGCGAGGCCAGAGGAAACUCUAGUGGAGGCUCAAAGCGAUACUGACUUGCAAAUCGUUCGUCUGACUUGGGUAUAGGGGCGAAAUACUAAUCGAACCAUCUAGUAGCUGGUUCCCUCCGAAGCUUCCCUCAAGAUAGUUGGAGCCCACAUGAGUUCUAUCGAGUAAAGCCAAUGAUUAGAGGCAUCGAGGGCGCAAGGCCCUCGACCUAUUCUCAAACUUUAAAUAGGUAGGACGACACGGCUGCUCCGGUGAGCCGUGCCAUGGAAUCAGGAGCUCCAAGUGGGCCAUUUUUGGUAAGCAGAACUUGUGAUGCGGGAUGAAUCAGAAGCCGGGUUAUGGUGCCAAACUGUGCGCUAACCUAGAACCCACAAAGGGUGUUGGUCGAUUAAGACAGCAGGACGGUGGUCAUGGAAGUCGAAAUCCGCUAAGGAGUGUGUAACAACUCACCUGCCGAAUCAACUAGCCCCGAAAAUGGAUGGCGCUGAAGCGAGCGACCCACACCCGGCGUCCGGUGAGUAGGAGGGUGCGGCGGCCGCCGCAAAACCUGGGGCACGAGCCCGGGCGGAGCGGCCAUCGGUGCAGAUCUUGGUGGUAGUAGCCAAUAUUCAAAUGAGAACUUUGAAGGCCGAAGAGGAGAAAGGUUCCAUGUGAACGACACUUGCACAUGGGUAAGCUGAUCCUAAGGGACGGGGGAAACCCAGCAGAUAGCGCCAUCACGCGCGUCACCUGAAAGGGAAUCGGGUUAAGAUUUCCCGAGCCGGGACGUGGCGGCAGACGGAGACGUUAGGAAGUCCGGAGAGCCGGCGGGGCCUCGGGAAGAGUUAUCUUUUCUGCUUAACGGCCCGCCAACCUUGGAAUCGGUUUAGCCAAAGGUAGGGUCCAGCGGCCGGAAGAGCACCGCACAUCACGCGGUGUCCGGUGCGCCCCCGGCGGCCCUUGAAAAUCCGGAGGACCGAAUACCGUCCAAGCCCGGUCGUACUCAUAACCGCAUCAGGUCUCCAAGGUGAACAACCUCUAGCCAAUGGAACAAUGUAGGCAAGGGAAGUCGGCAAAAUGUAACUUUGGGAAAAGGAUUGGCUCUGAGGGUUGGGCUCGGGGGUCCCGGCCCCGAACCCGUCAGCUGCUGGCGGAAUGCUCAAGCUCCUCGCGCGGCGAGAGCGGGCCACCGCGUGCCGGCCGGGGGACGGACCAGGAACGGCCCCCUCGGGGGCCUUCCCCGGGCGUCGAACAACCGACUCAGAACUGGUACGGUCAAGGGGAAUCUGACUGUUUAAUUAAAACAAAGCAUUGCAAUGGUCCUCGAGGAUGCUGACGCAAUGUGAUUUCUGCCGAGUGCUCUGAAUGUCAAAGUGAAGAAAUUCAACCAAGUGCGGGUAAACGGCGGGAGUAACUAUGACUCUCUUAAGGUAGCCAAAUGCCUCGUCAUCUAAUUAGUGAUGCGCAUGAAUGGAUUAACAAGAUUCCCACUGUCCCUAUCUACUAUCCAGCGAAACCACUGUAACACCUCAGGUGUUACUUAGGGUUUUCACUUAAGACUACACAAGCCAAGCCCAUCAUCACAUGUGGUUGAAAUAGAGCAAAGCACCUCAAACUUGGAACUCAAGGUCCUAAGCAUGUGCAACACAUCUUAGAUAUCAUACCCUAACUUAUCUUGCACAUAUAAUGGGGAGUUUUGCCCAAACCCUAAUUCAAACCCCUUGGACAAGUGGAGCACUAUAAGUAAGUAUGACCCAAAAGGUUAUGAAAAACCCAUGAUCAUGAUUUGGGCCAUUUAUAAAAGUUGUAGUACCCUUAAUACCCUACAAUUAAUAGUAAGAAAGUGACCCCAAAAAGAAUUCAGAAAAGCCCCAAAAGGUUCACCAAAGGGUUGAGCACAAAAGAAAAAUCAGGAUUUUUCUAAGUCCAAAACCAACCCUUGGCCAAAGAUCACACAUGUUCACCCUC